rnacentral:rRNA from 1 species
UACGUAGGGGGCAAGCGUUGUCCGGAAUCAUUGGGCGUAAAGAGCGUGUAGGCGGUCCGGUAAGUCGGCUGUGAAAGUCCAGGGCUCAACCCUGGGAUGCCGGUCGAUACUGCCGGACUAGAGUUCGGAAGAGGCGAGUGGAAUUCCCGGUGUAGUGGUGAAAUGCGUAGAGGAUCGGGCAGGAACACCCAAGGGGAAGCCAGCUGGCUGGGCAUUUGCUGACGCUCAUGUGCGA